rnacentral:lncRNA from 1 species
GCAGGAGAUGGCACAGGAGACAUCACACAGCUGCAAAGAAAAAAGGUAUCAAUACAUUUGAAAUAUCAAAAUAUAUGAAGUAUCUAAGGGAAUUCUCUGACAUCUACUGAGAUUCCACUUGCAAAUGUCUGAUCUCAGAUUGAAAGCAGUGCAGGAAAGAUAACUGGAGAAGAAUUUAAAGGACGCUUAAGUUGUGCAUUCCGGAUACCUGCUCUGCCUGUGAUUGAGUUACCAACCCACAUGUCUGAACAGAACUACACGGACCACUUACUUUAUAAAAAUGGUAAGAAAAUGAUAAGUAGCACUAAAAGGCACGACAGCAGGGAUGCUUA